rnacentral:rRNA from 1 species
UGGAGGGUGCAAGCGUUAUCCGGAUUCACUGGGCUUAAAGGGUGCGUAGGUGGGCUUGUAAGUCAGUGGUGAAAUCUCCGGGCUUAACCCGGAAACUGCCAUUGAUACUAUAGGUCUUGAAUUAUCUGGAGGUCAGCGGAAUAUGUCAUGUAGCGGUGAAAUGCUUAGAUAUGACAUAGAACACCAAUUGCGAAGGCAGCUGGCUACAGGUAUAUUGACACUGAGGCACGAAAGCGUGGGGAUCAAACAGGAUUAGAUACCCUGGUAGUCCACGCCCUAAACGAUGGAUACUCGACAUUUGUGAUACACAAUAAGUGUCUGAGCGAAAGCAUUAAGUAUCCCACCUGGGAAGUACGACCGCAAGGUUG